AUGACCCCAAGUACCUCUCCGAAAACAAGACGUAUACCGCUACCGUCGCAAGAAUCGAGACCGACAAGUCCGAAGAUGCAAGUACCACUCCAAACCAGUUCCGUUAACGUCGCGUUUGUGAGGAUCCGUUCGACUACGUUCGUUUGUCUUCUUCAUGGACUCGUUCUUCUUCCUUGCGGGAUCUCAGGCAAGAUGAUCAUACCCUCGAAAUCACUUCUAUCUUUGCUUGCUAGAUGCUCGCUCUUUUUCUAUGCCUAUGCUACGAUGCCUACCACUUGCUUAUCAUGCCUCCCAUAUUGUUGA
rnacentral:rRNA from 1 species